rnacentral:lncRNA from 1 species
UGCAGCCCCCGAGCACUUUGAUCGACUACAUUUAGGUGAUGAAGGGGUCAAUCAUGAUCAACGUGACCAUUGGAUUUCAAUCUCACAAUAAAUGUUGAGAGUAUUAGACCGUUGCGAUAUUACUGGCUCCAUUACAAGAAUCUCGGGGCCGUUUUAGAUCCGUUGCUCUAUUAUAAAAGAUAAGGGCAGCAGCCCCCGUGGUUUAUGCUUCCGGCCAUUCUCAUCUGUACAUUCUCCAUCUUGAAAAAACCCUAGCGCCACCGCUUGCACAACCACCACCACUAGCGAUCUCAAUUAGCUUUCUCUUCCUCCCCUUGCGCACCCCGUGGUGAUGCAUGUGAAAAAG